rnacentral:rRNA from 1 species
GACGAACGCUGGCGGCGUACCUAAUACAUGCAAGUAGAACGCUGAAGAGAGGAGCUUGCUCUUCUUGGAUGAGUUGCGAACGGGUGAGUAACGCGUAGGUAACCUGCCUUGUAGCGGGGGAUAACUAUUGGAAACGAUAGCUAAUACCGCAUAACAAUGGAUGACACAUGUCAUUUAUUUGAAAGGGGCAAUUGCUCCACUACAAGAUGGACCUGCGUUGUAUUAGCUAGUAGGUGAGGUAAUGGCUCACCUAGGCGACGAUACAUAGCCGACCUGAGAGGGUGAUCGGCCACACUGGGACUGAGACACGGCCCAGACUCCUACGGGAGGCAGCAGUAGGGAAUCUUCGGCAAUGGGGACAACCCUGACCGAGCAACGCCGCGUGAGUGAAGAAGGUUUUCGGAUCGUAAAGCUCUGUUGUAAGUCAAGAACGGGUGUGAGAGUGGAAAGUUCACACUGUGACGGUAGCUUACCAGAAAGGGACGGCUAACUACGUG